rnacentral:misc_RNA from 1 species
CACAAUAAAAUAUGAAGGCUGUACGCGGCUGUGCUCUCGGGCCAGUUUUUGCGGAGGCUGAAUUAUUUAUUACCCUUGUCUUUUUGCGCACCUGUUGUUUCCUGGGCGGGUUCGCCCGCCACCAGGACCACAUCAUAAACCUUUUUUAUGCAGUUGCAAUCAGCGUCAGUAUAACAAAUGUAAAUCAUUUA